GCAGCCCAGAGUCUGAAUCAGCUUGUGUGUUAGUGGAACGGUCUGGAAAGUCCGACGGUACAGGGUGAUAGUCCCGUACACCAAAAUGCACAGGUUGUGAACUCGAAGAGUAGGGCGGGACACGUGGUAUCCUGUCUGAAUAUGGGGGGACCAUCCUCCAAGGCUAAAUACUCCUGACUGACCGAUAGUGAACCAGUACCGUGAGGGAAAGGCGAAAAGAACCCCGGCGAGGGGAGUGAAAAAGAACCUGAAACCGUGUACGUACAAGCAGUGGGAGCACCUUCGGGUGUGACUGCGUACCUUUUGUAUAAUGGGUCAGCGACUUAUAUUCUGUAGCAAGGUUAACCGUAUAGGGGAGCCGCAGGGAAACCGAGUCUUAACUGGGCGUUAAGUUGCAGGGUAUAGACCCGAAACCCGGUGAUCUAGCCAUGGGCAGGUUGAAGGUUGGGUAACACUAACUGGAGGACCGAACCGACUAAUGUUGAAAAAUUAGCGGAUGACUUGUGGCUGGGGGUGAAAGGCCAAUCAAACCGGGAGAUAGCUGGUUCUCCCCGAAAGCU
rnacentral:rRNA from 1 species